rnacentral:rRNA from 1 species
CCACUUCGGUGGGGAUUAGUGGCGAACGGGUGAGUAACACGUGGGCAAUCUGCCCUUCACUCUGGGACAAGCCCUGGAAACGGGGUCUAAUACCGGAUGAUACUUCCACUCGCAUGGGUGGGGGUUGAAAGCUCCGGCGGUGAAGGAUGAGCCCGCGGCCUAUCAGCUUGUUGGUGAGGUAGUGGCUCACCAAGGCGACGACGGGUAGCCGGCCUGAGAGGGCGACCGGCCACACUGGGACUGAGACACGGCCCAGACUCCUACGGGAGGCAGCAGUGGGGAAUAUUGCACAAUGGGCGAAAGCCUGAUGCAGCGACGCCGCGUGAGGGAUGACGGCCUUCGGGUUGUAAACCUCUUUCAGCAGGGAAGAAGCGAAAGUGACGGUACCUGCAGAAGAAGCGCCGGCUAACUACGUGCCAGCAGCCGCGGUAAUACGUAGGGCGCAAGCGUUGUCCGGAAUUAUUGGGCGUAAAGAGCUCGUAGGCGGUCUGUCGCGUCGGAUGUGAAAGCCCGGGGCUUA